rnacentral:rRNA from 1 species
ACGAACGCUGGCGGCGUGCUUCACACAUGCAAAUCGAACGGAAAGGCCCUGCUUUUGUGGGGUGCUCGAGUGGCGAACGGGUGAGUAACACGUGAGUAACCUGCCCUUGACUUUGGGAUAACUUCAGGAAACUGGGGCUAAUACCGGAUAGGAGCUCCUGCUGCAUGGUGGGGGUUGGAAAGUUUCGGCGGUUGGGGAUGGACUCGCGGCUUAUCAGCUUGUUGGUGGGGUAGUGGCUUACCAAGGCUUUGACGGGUAGCCGGCCUGAGAGGGUGACCGGCCACAUUGGGACUGAGAUACGGCCCAGACUCCUACGGGAGGCAGCAGUGGGGAAUAUUGCACAAUGGGCGGAAGCCUGAUGCAGCAACGCCGCGUGCGGGAUGACGGCCUUCGGGUUGUAAACCGCUUUCGCCUGUGACGAAGCGUGAGUGACGGUAAUGGGUAAAGAAGCACCGGCUAACUACGUG